AUCUGCCCUGCACUCUGGGAUNAGCUUGGGAAACUNGGUCUAAUACCGGAUAUGACCACAGCAUGCAUNUNUNGUNGUNGAAAGAUUUAUCGGUNCAGGAUNGCCCNCGGCCUAUCAGCUNGUUGGUGGGGUNAUNGCCUACCAAGGCGACGACGGGUNGCCGACCUGAGAGGGUGACCGGCCACACUGGGACUGAGACACGGCCNNGACUCCUACGGGAGGCAGCAGUGGGGAAUAUUGCACAAUGGGCGGAAGCCUNAUGCAGCGACGCCGCGUGAGGGAUGAAGGCCUUCGGGUNGUAAACCUCUUUCAGCAGGGACGAAGCGUGAGUGACGGUACCUGCAGAAGAAGCACCGGCUAACUACGUGCCAGCAGCCGCGGUAAUACGUAGGGUGCCAGCGUUGUCCGGAAUUACUGGGCGUAAAGAGUUCGUAGGCGGUUUGUCGNNUNGUAUGUGAAAACCCGGGGCUCAACUUCGGGCUNGCAGGCGAUACGGGCAGACUAGAGUGUUUCAGGGGAGACUGGAAUUCCUGGUNUAGCGGUNAAAUNCGCAGAUAUCAGGAGGAACACCGGUGGCGAAGGCGGGUCUCUGGGAAAUGACUGACGCUGAGGAACGAAAGCGUNGGUAGCAAACAGGAUUAGAUACCCUGGUNGUCCACGCCGUAAACGGUNGGCGCUAGGUGUNGGUUCCUUCCACGGGAUCUNUGCCGUAGCUAACGCAUUAAGCGCCNNGCCUNGGGNGUACGGCCGCAAGGCUAAAACUCAAAGGAAUUGACGGGGCCCNGCACAAGCGGCGGAGCAUGUGGAUUAAUUCGAUGNAACGCGAAGAACCUUACCUGGGUUUGACAUACACCGGAAAACCGUAGAGAUACGGUCCCCCUNGUGGUCGGUGUACAGGUGGUGCAUGGCUGUCGUCAGCUCGUGUCGUGAGAUGUUGGGUUAAGUCCCGCAACGAGCGCAACCCUNGUCUUAUGUUGCCAGCACGUAAUGGUGGGGACUCGUAAGAGACUGCCGGGGUAAACUAGGAGGAAGGUGGGGAUGACGUCAAGUCAUCAUGCCCCUUAUGUCCAGGGCUUCACACAUGCUACAAUGGUCAGUACANAGGGCUGCGAGACCGUGAGGUGGAGCGAAUCCCUUAAAGCCGGUCUCAGUUCGGAUCGGGGUCUGCAACUCGACCCCGUGAAGUCGGAGUCGCUAGUAAUCGCAGAUCAGCAACGCUGCGGUNAAUACGUUCCCGGGCCUUGUACACACCGCNGUNNAGUNCAUGAAGUUCGGUAACACCCGAAGCGGUGGCCUAACCCCUUACGGGGAGGGAGCCGUCGAAGGUGGGAUCGGCGA
rnacentral:rRNA from 1 species